CUUGGCUGGGCCUCAGUGGCUCCCAGGGCUGGCCCCUCAGGGUUGGCUUCAGCACUGUCAUCCUGCUUGCCUUGGUGCAAGAGGACGUAGACAUACUCAGAGAGCCGCACUGUCCGCUGGCCCCGUUCUGCUAGCUCCAGCUCCAGCAGGUAGCGGUUGCCCCGGGCCGUGUCCCGGCGCUUCUCCACAUUGACAAUCCGCAGGAGAGUGUAGAUGCCCCCAUUCUUCUCGUUGAGCUUCUCCAUGUACUGGGCCACCACAUCGACCACCUCGCUCUCACUCAGCUGCAGGUUGCCUGAGACGUUGCAACGCAGGUCAUUCCAGUCGGAGCGCAGGAGCUCGAAGUCCACCGAGCUGACGCUGAACGUCCUCUGCCAGUUGAUGGAGUCCUCCAGCCAGCUCUGCGGCAGCUCCCCUGUCUCAUAGCUGUAGUCUGACACCUCCUCUUCCUCCUCUUCCUCCUGGCCCUUUCCCUCCUGCUGGGAUGCCGUUAUCUCCGACGUCUUCAGAAAGGACGUCACCCGUGUCCCCUGUGAGCGAGUCACCUCAGAGGAGUUGUAAUCAGUGGUGACUGCCAUCCUGCCCGGGGCAGUGGUCACAUCCUCGUUGGUCUCCUUGCUGAAGAUCCCUUCAGCCCCCAGUUCUUCCCGCUUGCUCACCAGCUGCCACCUCCUGUCACCUGCCCGGCUGGUCUUCC
rnacentral:lncRNA from 1 species